GGACUCGUAGCUCAAAGGAUAGAGCGUCUGUCUCCGGAACAGGAGGUUGGGGGUUCAAUUCCCCUCGAGCCCA
rnacentral:tRNA from 1 species